UCAAAGGUUUUAUCGUUGUGUUUUUAUCUAAAAACCACAAAUAUCAUUUGAAAAGUUAUAU
rfam:Edhazardia aedis TSNM 41457 supercont1.121, whole genome shotgun sequence.